rnacentral:tRNA from 1 species
UAGGCUAAGGCCAAAGUUAGAGGCAUCUGAUUGUUAACUAGAAGAAUGUGGAUAACCACUAGCCUAG